AUGGAGCUCGGGUGGGGCGCCACCAAGGGCGCCUUCCGCAGGAAGGAGGGGAACGGUGACUAUCGCCGCCAACGGGACGUCGUCGACCGCGUCACCGCCCACCCGGCCUGGCGCCGGUCCGGCGGCCGCGACCACGUCUUCGUCCUCACAGACCCUAUGGUAAUGUGGCAUGUCCGAGCGGAGAUUGCUCCAGCAAUUCUACUGGUGGUUGAUUUUGGCGGGUGGUACAAACUCGAUUCAAAAUCUGCAGGCGGCAACUCUUCUCAUAUGAUACAGCACACUCAAGUGUCAUUGCUGAAAGAUGUCAUUGUGCCUUACACACAUUUGCUGCCUACCCUGCACCUAUCAGAAAAUAUGGAUCGCCCCACUCUUCUGUACUUCAAGGGAGCCAAGCACAGGCAUCGGGGUGGUUUGGUGCGUGAAAAACUGUGGGACUUGAUGCUUAACGAGCCUGAUGUCGUCAUGGAAGAAGGUUUUCCUAAUGCUACAGGUCGUGAACAAUCAAUUAAAGGAAUGCGAACAUCAGAGUUUUGCUUGCACCCAGCUGGUGACACCCCAAGUUCAUGUCGUCUAUUUGAUGCUGUUGCAAGUCUUUGCAUACCAGUCAUUGUCAGCGAUGACAUUGAGCUUCCUUUCGAAGGGAUGAUAGACUACACAGAAUUCUCCAUUUUUGUGUCAGUCGGUAACGCAAUGAGACCCAAAUGGCUAACAGACUACCUAAGGAAUAUCUCCAAGCAGCAGAAGGAUGAAUUCAGAAGAAACCUGGCUGGAGUGCAGCAUAUCUUUGAGUACGAAAACAGUCACGAAAGUAGCAAGGUCUCUGCCCCGGAAGAUGGUGCUGUGAACCACAUAUGGAAGAAGACUCAUCAGAAAUUGUCGAUGAUUCAAGAAGCAGUCACCCGGGAGAAGCGGAAGCCUGAAGGCGCAUCAAUCCCACUUCGGUGCCAUUGUACAUGGCCGCCUCUCUUAGUCGUCAAUCCCUCAAGAAAAGCUCAGAUGACUGCAAGUCAGUUAAUUUCCCCCUUGGUAGUUGCAAAUAUGAGCAUGUAA
rnacentral:rRNA from 1 species